rnacentral:rRNA from 1 species
CAGUCGCCACGGGAAUACGAAGGGGGCUAGCGUUGCUCGGAAUUACUGGGCGUAAAGGGCUCGCAGGCGGUUUCUUAAGUCUGAUGUGAAAGCCCCCGGCUCAACCGGGGAGGGUCAUUGGAAACUGGGAAACUUGAGUGCAGAAGAGGAGAGUGGAAUUCCACGUGUAGCGGUGAAAUGCGUAGAGAUGUGGAGGAACACCAGUGGCGAAGGCGACUCUCUGGUCUGUAACUGACGCUGAGGAGCGAAAGCGUGGGGAGCGAACAGGAUUAGAUACCCCCGUAGUCCCUGUCUCUUAUAC